rnacentral:rRNA from 1 species
UACGUAGGGUGCGAGCGUUAAUCGGAAUUACUGGGCGUAAAGCGUGCGCAGGCGGUUUGCUAAGACCGAUGUGAAAUCCCCGGGCUUAACCUGGGAACUGCAUUGGUGACUGGCGGGCUAGAGUAUGGCAGAGGGGGGUAGAAUUCCACGUGUAGCAGUGAAAUGCGUAGAGAUGUGGAGGAAUACCGAUGGCGAAGGCAGCCCCCUGGGCCAAUACUGACGCUCAUGCACGAAAGCGUGGGGAGCAAACAGG